CGUCUAUAUACGUAUAGCAUAUCAAUAAGCGGAGGAAAAGAAACUAACUAGGAUUCCCUCAGUAACGGCGAGUGAAGCGGGAAGAGCUCAAAUUUGAAAUCUUCAAGGUUUUACCUUGACGAAUUGUAGUUUAAAGAAGUGUUUUCUGUUGGAAUCUUGGUAAAAGUUCUUUGGAAAAAGACAUCAAAGAGGGUGAGAAUCCCGUAUUUGACCAUUAUUUCCAGCUUUGUGAUACACUUUCAAAGAGUCGGAUUGUUUGGGAAUGCAGUCCAAAAUGGGUGGUAAAUUUCAUCUAAAGCUAAAUAUUGGCGAGAGACCGAUAGCGAACAAGUACCGUGAGGGAAAGAUGAAAAGAACUUUGAAAAGAGAGUUAAACAGUACGUGAAAUUGUCAAAAGGGAAGCGUUUGACACCAGUGUUGUUUUCUCGAAAAUCAAUUAAAAAGAUUUGGAUUUUGUAUUGUUAUGACCUUAUCAGCUUACUGUACUCUUUUCUUGCUCUUUUUAAUGCACUUUUCGUUUAACAAGUCAACAUCAAUUUCUUUUGUUGUAAAAGGGUCAUUGGAAGGUGGCUUUCUUUUCGGAGAAAGUGUUUAUAGCCUUUGACUUCUGCAAUCGGAGAGAUUGAGGUCUGCAGCGUAGAUCCUUCGGGGUUAGAUACAUUUGUGCUAAGUUAUAGCCUUUCAUAGACAACUUGUUGACUAUGAUCAGUCAUGUAGCUUACUCGCAUAUGUCAUUUUACCUACGCUUAGGAUGUUGAUCUGUAGUGCGUGCGC
rnacentral:rRNA from 1 species